UUUCAGAUGGGAUCCUGAGGUUCAACGAAGUUAAGAGACUUACCUAAGGUCAUGUAGUAGACAUGGCUAAAGUGGGAUUUGAUUCCAGAUUAUAUGGCUCCAAGGAUGCUUGAUGAGCAGUGCCAGGUCUGCACCUGGGAUCCGAACCCAUGAACCCCAGGCCACCGAAGCAGAGCACACUAACUCAACCACUACACCACUGGGCCGGCCCCUGGAUGACCAUUUUAAAUUGUCAGUAAUCACACGGAACCAGUAUAAUCAUCUCGAUCACAUCCUUUAAGUGUGUAAGACUUACUCCAAAGAGAAAGGUAUUGAAGGAAGAGAAUACUGGGUAAGGACCCAAUAUACAUGUGAAAACCGUGCUUGUUUGAUGCUUGUUUUGAACAAUGUCUUCUUGGCCAGCAUGUUGUGGGAAUGGGGACUGGAAAGUAAAACUGAAUGUUCCAUAAUUUGGAACUUGACUUCGAAGCUUACAAAUAUCACAUGGUAAUUUUUUAUCAAAAAAUACACAAAAACAAUGUAAGCUUUGGGUGAUAAGUUUAUUACUCAACAGUGAUACCUGUUCAUCAGUUGAACCCCACUGCUUCCAGAAAGAGCUAGCUUACAAAGUUUGAGGAGUUUCCACCAAUGACACUGUGAUAAUCUCAGACGGUAGUUCUCUGGGUUCUAGGAAAAUACAAGGAGAGAGAGCAAGUAAUGCAGAUGGAAUGAUGGCUGGGAACUUGGAAGAAUUGCCAAGAAAAUUCGAGGCCAGAAGAGUGAGCAGAGAGGCCAAUCAGGAAGAAUCCUCUCUGCCACGCUAGGAGGGUGACAUAAAUAAGCAGUAUUCAGAAAAUGCCUUAAUUAAGCAGAAACCAACUAUGUUUACCACUUUGAAUAAUCCUCAUAUAGGCAAGACGCAGCAUAAAAAUAGCUCCCAGUUGCCUGAAAUGUCUUACUUUCCUUAAUGUCAGUAUUGUGUCCUGAUCAUGGAUGUUUUGAAACCCAAACCUACACAGCCUCAAGGAAUCUCCAUCCUCAAAGAGUGAUAACACUGUCUUUAACUUGCUCAGCCUGUUAACAUACUUCACCAAGGAGGGUGAGAUUGGCUGAUAUAUUUUCAAGAAUUCUUCAACAAGGAUUUUUUUUUUUAAGAUUUUAUUUUUUCCUUUUUCUCCCCAAAGCCCCCCAGUACAUAGUUGUAUAUUCUUCGUUGUGGGUUCUUCU